AACGCGAAGAACCUUACCUACUCUUGUCAUCCACAGAAUCCUUUAGAGAUAGGGGAGUGCCUUCGGGAACUGUGAGACAGGUGCUGCAUGGCUGUCGUCAGCUCGUGUUGUGAAAUGUUGGGUUAAGUCCCGCAACGAGCGCAACCCUUAUCCUUUGUUGCCAGCACGUGAUGGUGGGAACUCAAAGGAGACUGCCGGUGAUAAACCGGAGGAAGGUGGGGAUGACGUCAAGUCAUCAUGGCCCUUACGAGUAGGGCUACACACGUGCUACAAUGGCAUAUACAAAGGGAAGCAAGCUAGCGAUAGUGAGCGAAUCCCAUAAAGUAUGUCGUAGUCCGGAUUGGAGUCUGCAACUCGACUCCAUGAAGUCGGAAUCGCUAGUAAUCGUAGAUCAGAAUGCUACGGUGAAUACGUUCCCGGGGGUCUUGUACACACCG
rnacentral:rRNA from 1 species